ACUUAGUGGCGGACGGGUGAGUAACGCGUGGAUAACCUGCCUUACACUGGGGGAUAACACUUAGAAAUAGGUGCUAAUACCGCAUAAGCGCACGGAGCCGCAUGGCUCAGUGUGAAAAACUCCGGUGGUGUAAGAUGGAUCCGCGUCUGAUUAGCUGGUUGGCGGGGUAGAAGCCCACCAAGGCGACGAUCAGUAGCCGGCCUGAGAGGGUGACCAGCCACAUUGGGACUGAGACACGGCCCAAACUCCUACGGGAGGCAGCAGUGGGGAAUAUUGCACAAUGGGGGAAACCCUGAUGCAGCAACGCCGCGUGAGUGAAGAAGUCAUUCGUGAUGUAAAGCUCUAUCAGCAGGGAAGAAAAUGACGGUACCUGAGUAAGAAGCCCCGGCUAACUACGUGCCAGCAGCCGCGGUAAUACGUAGGGGGCAAGCGUUAUCCGGAUUUACUGGGUGUAAAGGGAGCGUAGACGGCCAGACAAGUCUGAAGUGAAAAUCCAGCGCUUAACGUUGGAAGUGCUUUGGAAACUGCCGGGCUAGAGUGCAGGAGGGGCAGGCGGAAUUCCUAGUGUAGCGGUGAAAUGCGUAGAUAUUAGGAGGAACACCAGUGGCGAAGGCGGCCUGCUGGACUGCAACUGACGUUGAGGCUCGAAGGCGUGGGGAGCAAACAGGAUUAGAUACCCUGGUAGUCCACGCGGUAAACGAUGAUUACUAGGUGUCGGGGGGCUAGAGCCCUUCGGUGCCGUCGCAAACGCAAUAAGUAAUCCACCUGGGGAGUACGUUCGCAAGAAUGAAACUCAAA
rnacentral:rRNA from 1 species